rnacentral:tRNA from 1 species
GGGGUUGUGGCUCAGUGGUAGAGCAUUCACCUCACAUGUGCGAGGCUCUGGGUUUGAUCCUCAGCACCA